UGCAGCAUUUAGACCGCUCUUUGCCAAUCAUGUCUGAUCUCAGAAGUGAAGCUAAUUUGGGCCUGGUUAGUACUUGAAUGGGAGACUGCUGGAGAGCACCAAGUAUUGAAGGCAA
rnacentral:rRNA from 1 species